GAUGAUCCUGGCCUGUAUAUAUACAACCCAUUGCAAAGUGUCUUCCUUCCUCAUGUACCAAGUAAUAGUAAGUCAGCAAUUUCUAGCUUUAAAUGGAAGCAUGUAGUCCUGGACUUACUAAUGUACAAGAAGACAUUCCAGUUAUAAGCUACUACAAUUGCUAUGGGAUGUUGGAGUCAAACAAACAAUCAAGUUGUUUUGCGCUAGUUUUUAUUUAACUAGCAUUCAUGGAGUAUGCAAUAAGCUAUCCCAUCCACUGUCCCUCAAGUUGGAUUGUUGCACGCUCCCAUGGAGGUGGGAUCAUUGGGACGCUGUAACCGUUGUCGGACCGCCCAGAGAAAGAGUAGUCCCAUUCAGUAAAGAGGCGUGGGCAGAAGAAAUUGAAGAAUCCUGUUAGUUAGGCGGCCCCACAUGGCCAUGAUGGUUGGGUGGAAUACCUGCA
rnacentral:lncRNA from 1 species